GACAAGGGCACAUGUCCUUUUGUCAAAUUUUUCAAACAGACUUUAGAUUAUUACAAACUGGAUGCAUGAUUUACACCCACUGCAUGUUAAGAUGUGAUGCUGAACAAAGACAUUUCUCUCCCACAGUAAUUAUAUCCACUCUAGAGAAAGAAGAGUGUGGAGAAACUCCUGUGAUUCCAAAUGGAAAAGUGGGACCUCCACAAAAGCAAAGCCAAGGGCAAGUCGCUGUGAUUACUUGUAACACAGGAUACAGCCCUAAGGUUAACUACUUAAGUUGUCGCGAGGAAAAUGGAUUCCAAAUGAAAUGUCACCCAAUGAUAUUUGUACACCUCGUGCUGCUGAUGCUGAUGCUGAUGUUGUUCACGAUACACCGUUGUCUCAAUAAAAAUGCCAAGAAAGACAACUUUUUUAUCGUUCUUUUGUUUUUAAUCAGUUGUUUGGAGAAACAAAACUGCAUUUGCCGUGUGCAUUAUUCAUACUGAUGUUUCAUCUUGUUACAUAAAACACAAUCCUGAUACAUGUAUUGGCUGAAUCAAUCAUUUGUAUCAUAAAGUGUUCUGAUAUCAUAACGCUUUGCCAUUGUGAAUAAAAGAUUAACUUUA